ACGGUCUUCCGCUGUGUUUAAUCAGGCUUGGCCGAAGAUGUGGUUUGCUUACCCUUUGACUCUUUUGAGAGUGGAGAUAUUGGUGCCGUCGAUGCGUCAUGUGAUGCGGAAUUUCCCCUUGUCGCAUAUUGCUUCCUACCAACGGUUUUAAUUCCGUCCCUUGCGUGGAAUUUUAUCCUUUUGGUGAAGUGGGGGCGGCCCUGUCUUUGGGUGAUGCGCCUGCGGUCGUCUGAAUAAGGCAUCCGUGCCUUGCGCCUCCCUUGAUGAUACGGGACUCGGUGUUCCGGUCUAGACCAGUCAUGCUGUACUGAGAGAAUGGUUUUUCUCCUUAUCAUAGCAAUCACCAUUCGGAAUCUGUCAAAGAUUCGAGAGGUGGUUGUGUUUUAACCCGGCGGCCCGAUAGUGCUGAUUGAUCCACCUGCACUCAUGUGCACAUGUUUUAUUUAAAACGGAUUGAGUGAGGAGGAAGGUUCUAGUACGUCAUUGUGAGGUCGAGACGAGGCCUCGGUACCCUCUUUGUUGAAUAUAAGGGCGUCCUUGGGGGUAUAUCCCCAGAUUUACCUUUCUUCGGUGACGAGAAAUUUUGCUCUCCCUUUUAUAAGUUCUUGGAAAGGGUCGUCGAUCCUCCAUUGUCGUGGCAAUGCACUGCGGCCCAUUUGCUUUGUUCCUCCUGUCCGCCUGCCAUACUGGGGACUGAACUUGAAUUUGGUCGCUCGUUAGUUCUCGACGGUGAUUUUUGUCGAGCGGCUUGGCGUCUUUCCUUCGGAGCUGGUGGCUAUCUUCGGCCCCGUGGCCGCACUUGCUAGGUAGUUCCCGUGCCAUGUUAUGAUCCCUUUGAGAGGAGUUCGACCGAAUUGGUCCGAGCCAUUCGACGUCCCUGGUUUCACCUACGGCGAACAUGAUAUUUGGUAUAGCGAUAUGGAAAUUAUACUCUGAUUGGCGAGGCGCCCUUGUCGGCCAUGUGUCCUCGUCGAAUAUGGCUUUGUUAAUGAUUCCUUGAGGAUAUUCUCCUCGGGCCAUUCUACAAUCGUUGGAAGGUAGAUUGCAUCUUGUGGCAUUCCUUCUGUCUGCGGCGCACAGGUGGUACCUCCCUCUGUUUGGAAUUAUUUUCUUUGCCAGGAGCCUAUUUGGUUAAGCUGAGCCCGAGGAGGCUCCCGAAUGGUCAUCCGCGACUGAUGCCGGGUACAAGCAUCCGACCAGGUCUUGGCUGGGUACCUGAUCAAGUUUUGUAUGAACUGCCCCGAAAUCGUCGGGCCUGGUUUAUUUAGGCUUUGAGUGAAGGCAUGUAUUGCCCAGUUGUUACACCUCCUUUUUCAUUACACCACGGGAGGGUAUAAAUAAAGGAGUUUUUCCAAUCAAAGGACAUUUGAAAUGAGAUUUAUUGUUAAAAUAUUCAGAGUCGCCACUUGGGAAAUUUAUGGUGUCCCAAGUCACCGGUUGAAUCCCGAAUAGAGGAAAAGCUUGACUCUGUUUAACAGUCCGCGAACCAGAAAUCCGAGUAAGGAAUUCUGUUAACCCGAGAGAAGGUGUUAGGAACUCCCGAGUUCCGUGGUUCUAGCACGAUCGCUCACUGUUAUAUUUGGCUUAUUAUCUGACUUUAGAACACCUUCAAAACCUAUGUGCAUUUUCACUUUUCACCGCUUUUCAUUAAAUCAUUUUUAGGAAGAUGUUAACGUUAUCAAAAUCACGUCUUGAGUUACGUCACAUAAAUGCACCCGCAGUCCACGAUAAAUUUUAUUUAACGUUGUCGAGAUUUGAAUUUGGGUCACAUAAAUACGCACCCGAGUUUGGGAAUUAGAUAUCACGACUAUGCCACGGGAACCGUACCCAUAGCCGUGAUGAUUCACUAUGUGCCAAAAGCAAGCUAUGAGUGUUUAUAAAUAUCAUUUAUGGACUAAUCAAAGAGGGAAGCUAUCCAAAUCUAAUUUCAGUUUCUCUUAAAAAAAUCAACCUGUGGCUAAGCAUGCUCUUAUUAAUUGAUGAAUUAGCAAAGAAACAAAGUAAAAAAAAAACAGAAUUACCAAAGCUCCAAAUCUGAUUAUCGUCAUUCUCUUUUACGAAACAUUUUAAAGAAUUUAAACCAAACCAAUCAUCAAAACUAUUCAUAAUACGUUAAUUCUCAAUUUUUAAUUUUCAACCUGCUUAAGAUCAAAAUAAGAACAAAUCUUAUGAAACAAAAACAGCCAAAAUGGAAAGAAGUAGGUUCAUGAUUUUUCAAAAGAAAGAAAUCCAAAGACGUCAUGCCUUUUAAACAAGAGAAAAUCAAUAUACCACACCUAUAGUAAUCAAUACUCACAUUUAAUUCAAGCUCAAUCAUGAUCCAAUACAAAACCAUAUAUGAAAUAAAGAUCUAGAGCUUAUGAGAAAAGGAAAUGGACCUCUAAGCAAAAAUUGAACAGAUCUGAGAGACGCUAAUCGGAAACGUGAACCGCACAGACAAACCUCGACGGACCUCAAAUCUCCGACUCAACGACUAAACAGGAAGCUUGCACCAGGGACUUCGACGAACUCAACACCUCGAUAUAUGGCGCUGUACAGAUCUCGCGAACGAACCCCAAGAUGGACUCAACCUCGACAAAGAACUAGCAGAAUAGUCAUCGAGACUCGGCCAGAAACUCGCCGGAAAAGUGUUAAACGAGUUUUGAACUCCUCACUAUUUUUAACCCAUUUUUCGUUCACUGCUGCUUCAGCAUGUGCGUGUGUGUGUGAUGACGUGAGCUGCUGGUGUGAGCUCGUUCUAGGUUGAAGCAAGCGAAAAUGAAGGGUGUUGUUUGGUUCGCCGGCAGCGUCGCCACUCACCGGUGAUCAGCUCCGGCGAGGCAGCAGCUGUUGAUGGUGUUGGAAGAUCUGUGAUGGCGGGGAGCUGGGGUCGUUGGGUGUGAGGUGAAAGGAGAGAGCAUGUCGUUUGUACUACUGUUGAUGGGAACUAAAGUUCAGAAAAAUGGAGAGGGGACGUUGGAGAAGAAGACGUGAAAAGGAGUCCCAGCUUUCGUCGCAGCUUCUUCUGCUUUUCAGUUUUUUUUCGUUCUUUUUCAUGCGCAGUUUUUUUUUGUUUUUAGCUUUUUCUCCUC
rnacentral:lncRNA from 1 species